AUGGCUGUGCAAACGGAUUGCAUUUGACUGCUAAUCUAACAGUUGGUGGUUCAAACCCACCCAGUGGUG
rnacentral:tRNA from 1 species